rnacentral:rRNA from 1 species
GGUGACCAGCGGAGGGAUCAUUACCGAGUUUACAACUCCCAAACCCCUGUGAACAUACCUUAAUGUUGCCUCGGCGGAUCAGCCCGCGCCCCGUAAAACGGGACGGCCCGCCAGAGGACCCAAACUCUAAUGUUUCUUAUUGUAACUUCUGAGUAAAACAAACAAAUAAAUCAAAACUUUCAACAACGGAUCUCUUGGUUCUGGCAUCGAUGAAGAACGCAGCAAAAUGCGAUAAGUAAUGUGAAUUGCAGAAUUCAGUGAAUCAUCGAAUCUUUGAACGCACAUUGCGCCCGCUGGUAUUCCGGCGGGCAUGCCUGUUCGAGCGUCAUUUCAACCCUCAAGCCCCCGGGUUUGGUGUUGGGGAUCGGCUCUGCCUUACGGCGGCGCCGCCCCCGAAAUACAUUGGCGGUCUCGCUGCAGCCUCCAUUGCGUAGUAGCUAACACCUCGCAACUGGAACGCGGCGCGGCCAUGCCGUAAAACCCCAACUUCUGAAUGUUGACCUCGGAUCAGGUAGGAAUACCCGCUGAACUUAAGCAUAUC